AGUGAACGCUGGCGGUAGGCCUAACACAUGCCAGUCGAACGGCAGCACAGUAAGAGCUUGCUCUUACGGGUGGCGAGUGGCGGACGGGUGAGGAAUACAUCGGAAUCUACUUUUUCGUGGGGGAUAACGUAGGGAAACUUACGCUAAUACCGCAUACGACCUACGGGUGAAAGCAGGGGAUCUUCGGACCUUGCGCGAUUGAAUGAGCCGAUGUCGGAUUAGCUAGUUGGCGGGGUAAAGGCCCACCAAGGCGUCGAUCCGUAGCUGGUCUGAGAGGAUGAUCAGCCACACUGGAACUGAGACACGGUCCAGACUCCUACGGGAGGCAGCAGUGGGGAAUAUUGGACAAUGGGCGCAAGCCUGAUCCAGCCAUACCGCGUGGGUGAAGAAGGCCUUCGGGUUGUAAAGCCCUUUUGUUGGGAAAGAAAAGCAGCAGGUUAAUACCCCGCUGUUCUGACGGUACCCAAAGAAUAAGCACCGGCUAACUUCGUG
rnacentral:rRNA from 1 species